GGGGGGAGCAAGCGUUGUUCGGAUUUACUGGGCGUAAAGGGCGCGUAGGCGGCCACCGCAAGUCGACUGUGAAAUCUCCGGGCUUAACCCGGAAAGGUCAGCCGAUACUGCGGGGCUAGAGUGCAGAAGGGGCAACUGGAAUUCUCGGUGUAGCGGUGAAAUGCGUAGAUAUCGAGAGGAACACCUGCGGCGAAGGCGGGUUGCUGGGCUGACACUGACGCUGAGGCGCGAAGGCUAGGGGAGCGAACGGGAUUAGAUACCCCGGUAGUCCUAGCCUUAAACGAUGAAUGCUUGGUGUCUGGGGUUUUAUAGUCCCCGGGUGCCGUCGCUAACGCUUUAAGCAUUCCGCCUGGGGAGUACGGUCGCAAGACUG
rnacentral:rRNA from 1 species